UGUCUGUCUGUCUAAUUAUUUUUACUCUAUUGUGUUUUGUGGAUUAUGUGUCUCAAUCAAAUUAGACUUUUUAAUGACUCAUUAAUUGGGAAUGGCUGAUAGAAUGAAAACACUUUUUUUAAAGAUGCCAAGAGAAAAGGUCACUGUACGAUAGAUGGAUGGAUGGAUGGAUGGAUGGACGGACGGACGGAUGGAUGUGUUACCUUUCCUUCUGAAAAGAAGCAUUCCCACAGCAUUAUGCUGCCACCAAUAUCUUUACUUACGAUUUUUCCAAAUGUAAACAUUUAGUCUGGAAUUUAGAAUCAGAAACAUAAAAGGUAUAACAUUUAUGAACGUAUAGACAUUUGUUGUAACUAGAGCAGUGACGUGCGCAUCAAUGUUUCCUCAACCAUUCUCAAACUGCAUGGUAAGUGGUUCAUGCAAACAUUUUUAGUCAGCUAUGCCAGACAUCUAAUUGAGAAGUUAAAAAAAGCAUACCAUUUUAAUUGCUUUUUAUUUGUAGUACAGCUUUAUACUCUUGUAUAACUAUGUCAAGCUAAUUCUAUCUUUUAAACUGGAAGCUAAAAUCUGUUUAAUUGUUUUUUUUCUUAGUUUAUUCCUGCUUCAUAUCUUCUCAUUUUCUUGUUUCAGUGACUUGACUUAAUUUUGUUGUACAGCACUUCAGCCUACAGUUUGUGGUUUCAGAAUUUAAAUAUUGUUUAUUAUCUAUUUCUGUAUUAGUUUUGUCUUGCUUUUGUUUUUUGUUUUUUUAGCAGUUUGUGUUUUUGACGUGUAUAUGAAAAGGUUAAAAAGAUCAAAGUAAAUAAUUUUGGUACGUGUUUGGUUUUAAAUGCACUUUAUGAAUUAGUUGACUUAAUUAUCAACCCCAAUAACCCAAAGAAAUUAAAGUAUGUUCGGUUAGGUACAGCAAUAAAGCAGCUUAAACCUUUUAAAUAUAGUCUCCUCCCCAUCUAUUGUCACUCUGAAAAUUAUGCAUAAAAAAGACUUGGGGCAAGUCCAUCUUUCAUUGCAAUAGUAUAAUCGCACACUGCAAGUUUCAUGCAGAUCUCUAAGCUUUGAAGAUGUCUUCUUUUUUUUUUCUUUUUUUUAGCGUCCUCCUCACUGUGCGUGGUUGCAAAAUAAACAUGGGUCCUCUUCCAGCCUUGCUUGUCACAGUUUCACUUGUAAACUUUUUAAUUAUUGCUCUGACUGUACAUAUGGGCAAGUUUUAACUAUUUUUAUUUAGCUAUGUUCUAACUUAUGAAUAUCCACACGGUAGCCUAUAUUGAAUUGAAGGUUUUCUCACCUUUCCCAUUUUGAAGAGUGGAUAAAAAAAUUGGCUUCUAGAAUAUGUCCUAUUUAUGCCCCAGGGAAAUAGGAACAUUUUGAAUAUGAACAAAAUGUGUUUAGGUAGUGAAAAGCAACGUAUACGGUAAAAAAAAACUACACUUUUGGUUACAUUUACAUAAUAAUGUGUUAACAUGAUUUUUUUUCUUAUUGUGACAAAAUAAUUGCACUAAAAAUUUUUGGGGGGAUUUUUCUUAUUUUUUGUGAGAAGUUAAGCUAAUGCCAAAAAAUUCAUGUUUCAGUGUCAUUCUGAACAUGUCCUUAUUCACUUCAGUGACUUUAACUGUAUCACAUAAUUUUUAGUUCAUCAAUCAGAUUUUAAUUUCAUAGACUGAUAACUCGAGUAUAUGCAAAAGGUAGUGUUCAAAUUAUAUCAUUUUUAAGAUAAAAAUACUAUCAAAACUAACCUGGUUCAAUGUGCAAAAAGUGCUGCCAAAACCCAAUAACUGAUUGUAUCUCCCUUGGUGGCAACAAGAAGCUGCUACGGAGGUAUUUUUGCCUACUCUUCUUUACAGAAUUGUUAUAAUUGGACACCAUUGGAGGGUUUUUUCAACCAGGAACAUUGUGGUAAAUGCCAUGCAGUAGCAUCUCAAUCAGACUUAGCUCUGUAAAACAUGGGUGUCCAGACACAAGCCAGCAGAAUGGAAAUCAGUUUUCCAAAAAUUUAAUUUAACAAGUAGAACCAUCAUUGGAAAACUACCAAUCGUUACUUAGUCAGGUUAUUGUUGUAUCACUUUAAAAUCUGAUUGUUAAUGUGAAACAUGUAAGUAUAACAACAGAGUAGGAAUACAGAAAAAAACAUGUUAAAGGGAAUAAAUACUUCCAUACAAAAUACAGCUGAAAAUGUAAAAAUGCAAAAUUGGUUUGAGCUGCCACUUCAUGAAGACGUGGUAUGAAAUAGUUUAAACUGAUCUCAAAGAUUUCUCAUUACUGAUAAAAAUUCAUCGUUUAUCAGGAUUCAGUGGGAUGGGAUAAAACCAUCCAGGAAAAGCUUAACUGGUCGAGAUAAUCAUGUGAUUUGUUGUGUGCUCUAAAACAUUUCUGAAACAAAGCACAUGAUCCAAAAUGAAAAAGAAGAAAAUUAUUGCAAGUUGUUGACAGUUAGUGGUUCUUUAACAUGACAUUCUGUAAGUUACUAUAUGUU